AGAGCCAAUACGCAGCAACCCACAGGAACAAGCCAACGCCAAGGCAGACACAGCGUCCAGCUCACGAACUUUGCAAUACUCACGUCGCUACCAAGUGCGUCAAGGAUAUUUUGCUGCCACUCAAUUUCCCUUCCCAGCUCUGACCUCUGGCAAGCCAUAAGUUUUAGCUCUUUACCAGAAUCAGGACAAUUACUCUGUCCCACACCCUCAUGAUGAAGGGAGCAGGCAGAGCAGGGCCCAGCCCAGGCGCAGGUUCAGCCCGUGUCAGCUGCUCCCCCUCAGUGCCACAGGCACAGCCCAGGGCCAGGCAUCUGCUGCCAAAUGGGCAUCGCAGCCCCGUGAGCAUCUCCCCUUCCCUGGGCUCCCCAGCCACCCAGCCACUUCAAACACGCUGCGGCUUCUCAUGGAAAUCCCACCUUACCACUGUCCCUGAGACUUCUGGACAGUCACAGCCAACAGUGAAGACCCUCCUUGUUUCCUAUUGCUCCUCCUCUGCAACAGAAGCACCAUUCAGGGCAUUUUGCAUCCUUCCAGACUGUUUCCAUGGAUCCCCAAACCUAGGCCCUUCUGAAGAGUUCCCCAGGGUAUAUAACACCCUGCAGCAGCAGGUCACAGACCAAGCAUCACAUGCAGAACACAAACAAAGAGUUCCAGUGGCACAGUGAACACGUGAAGCCCUUGCAAAGGCAGUUCCCUGCUCAGGGUCUCGGCACAGCAGCGUUUGAGAAAGGAGAGACAAGCCCUGGAAUGCCUUUGGAAGUGCAAAGAAAUGAUGUGGUCCCUUGUGCUGCGUUAGCUUUCAGUUCUAGGGAGGGAGAACUCUCCCAAAUGAGCCUGAGGCAGCAUUCAGUGCUGGGGUGGAUGCAGUUAUUGCUUCACCACACCCCAAUGCAUCCAUCCAUACAGUGACCAGCUUGGGACAAACACAUUCUGCAGUGCCCCCCUUUUUCAGCUAGGAAACCAUCCCUAUAUGUCUCUUAAGUUCACCAUGACGUUCUGCAAUGCCCCCCUUUCUCAGCUAGGAAACCAUCCCUAUAUGUCUCUUAAGUUCACCAUGACUGCAUCUCCCACGAUAUCUGAAAUUACAAGUACUGUAAGUGCAGCUGAAGCCAGCUGGCUCUUGUGAAAUCUUAUUUGUUCCUUGGAGAGACCAGAGCUUAGCGCAGCUCUUCGUGGUGGUUAAAGAACUGUAAUCCGCUGUCCACAUGCCAAAAUGGAAUCUGUUAUCUGCCAGAAAAAUGACUUUCCCAACACUGCCCAGGCCAUUAUCUCAAAGCUG
rnacentral:lncRNA from 12 species